rnacentral:rRNA from 1 species
UACAGAGGUCUCAAGCGUUUGUUCGGAUUCAUUGGGCGUAAAGGGCGCGUAGGCGGCGGGGUAAGUCUGGUGUGAAAUCUCGGAGCUCAACUCCGAAAUUGCACUGGAUACUGCUCUGCUAGAGGGCUGGAGAGGAGAUCGGAAUUCACGGUGUAGCAGUGAAAUGCGUAGAUAUCGUGAGGAAGACCAGUGGCGAAGGCGGAUCUCUGGACAGCUCCUGACGCUGAGCGCGAAGGCUAGGGGAGCAAAGCGGG